rnacentral:lncRNA from 1 species
CAUUGGCAACCCUUCUUUCUGGAUCCCAAGUGUACACUAGAUAGAGAACUCGAAUGGUACCUACAAAUUAUGAUGCCAGUGAGUCUAUUUUGGCGUCAAAUUAGAAUACCUCUGAUGUUAGGGUUUUGGCAGGCUUUUGCCAACAAAACAGGCGACAGCGAUUGCUCAACUCAACGGCAGAACCGAAAAACUAAUCAUGGAGUUGGUCAAGGAUCGGAUGGAUGCAGUACAGAAAGUAGAAAGAGAAUCUUACGGCGACGAUAUUCUUGGUCGUAUGCUGACAGCAACUGAUAGAUUUGAUGGAAGCUUCCACAAAUUUAGCCUCGACGCUGUUAUAGACAACUGCAAGAAGUUUUUCUUCGCUGGCACUGACUCAGGAGCAAAUUUAACCACCUUCCCGUUGUUGAUCCUAGCAAAUUAUCCAGAAUGGCAGGACAAAGACCCUUGUGAGAUGAACGACAUCUCUAGGCUCAAAAUUGUAAGCAAUCGUUCCUGGAAAUAUUGUUAAUUACUCUUUCUUGCCCCGUAAAGGACGAUUCAGUGGUAGUGACAAGGUUUGCACUAAGAUUAGUACGUGAUUGGUGCAGGCGAGGAUGAUAUCUCAAGAAAUAGCGCGAAUUUUUGCAGUGUCACCGUCAAUAGCUAGAUUAGCCGUUAAGGAUUGCGAAUUAGGCGACCUGUUAAUUCCCAAGGGUUUAGUCAUCGAAAUCGCGACUUUGGCAAUGCACCGUGACCCAGAGCUUUGGGGAAAGGAUGUAGCCGAGUUCAGACCUGAGAGAUUUGCUAAUGGAGCAUCGGCAGCUUGCACUCAUCAUCAAGCAUUCCUUCCCUUCGGAGCU